rnacentral:tRNA from 1 species
GGUUGUGGCUCAGUGGUAGAGUACUUGCCUAGCACGUUAAGGCCCUAGGUUCAAUCCUUAGCACCA